rnacentral:rRNA from 1 species
GAUGAACGCUGGCGGCGUGCCUAAUACAUGCAAGUCGAGCGAACAGAUGAGGAUCUUGCUCCUCUGACGUUAGCGGCGGACGGGUGAGUAACACGUGGCUAACCUACCUAUAAGACUGGGAUCACUUCGGGAAACCGGAGCUAGUACCGGAUAAUAUAUUGAACCGCAUGGUUCAAUAGUGAAAGCCGGUUUUGCUGUCACUUAUAGAUGGAUCCGCGCCGCAUUAGCUAGUUGGUACGGUAACGGCUUACCAAGGCAACGAUGCGUAGCCGACCUGAGAGGAUGAUCAGCCACACUGGAACUGAGACACGGUCCAGACUCCUACGGGAGGCAGCAGUAGGGAAUCUUCCGCAAUGGGCGAAAGCCUGACGGAGCAACGCCGCGUGAGUGAUGAAGGUCUUCGGAUCGUAAAACUCUGUUAUUAGGGAAGAACAAAUGUGUAAGUAACUAUGCACGUCUUGACGGUACCUAAACAGAAAGCCACGGCUAACUACGUG